AUUCUGAAACCCAAUCUGGGGACAGUGCAGACUAAAUAAAAUUUCAUUUUGAUUUGGCCUCCCGCUGCGAACGGGACUGCUUUGUCUCGGCCGACAGAACCAGCAAGCCAGAAAGCUCUGUUAUGGAUCUAUUUAAAGUAAUGUUCCUGUGGCUUGUUACUAGAUUUCGCCGGAGAAGAAAGUUACCAUCGGGACGCUGUACUUCUCCAGUUUCACGCUCGCUCUGGAUUUCCCUCCUGCCCCCCCUUCUCCCCCCAGCAGCACUAAAAGCAAAAGGAUGGUGUGAGGGAAACACAAAGAAGGUCCCUUGCAGAGAAACACAUCCUGACAUCAAGCAUUUUCAUCACGGCUGACAGAGAAAUGGCAUGUUCAAUUUGCACUUUAUUUACAAACGCUAAACAUCUACGCACACAUGCCUACCCACCUUUCAUAUCCCUGUAUCUGAAACCCAAGCGAGGAAAACAGCCCAUGCGCGUGAAGCAAGCGAGGGAAUGUGCCGCUGCCUCAUCCAGCACGUUUACAAAUGGACCAACCACAAAUACACCACAGGGAAAUGUGCUUCUCUGUGUGCCAAAAUGCCAGGAUGUUAAUUCACAGAUAUCUCUGUUCAGCGUGUUGGUGUAACUGAGAUAAAUGCCAAGCUGGCUCCCUGCUGUGCGUGGUCCGACACCCCUUGGCCAUAGAGAUUCCAGCUAUUUAAGUUUGGAAAUGACAUUUCUUCACACGUCUUCCAAGAUAGCAAUGUAUGUCAAUCACCGGGAGCUCUGCCAAUGACAAUGCCAAUGGAUUUGAAUUUCCCAUUCAUGCUAGGGUGAAGGGGCUAUCUCUUUGACUUCUCCGACUGGGGCCUUUCAUCUCACCCAGGAAAGUUUAUUUCCCAAGGAAUUUUCUUUGUGGUCUCAAACUUGAAUGACCUUCCUUUUAUAACCUCUGAUAUCACCCAGGGUUUUAUUGCCAGGAAGUACCUCUUAGUUGACAUGCUUAAUACUGGGUUCCUGUGAUCUAUUCUAGGGAACCCCGAAACUUAGAGAGAAAACUGAGGAAAAUGAUCUGGUUUCCAGGUUUGGGAAUACCACUGAACCACUGACCCUUAAGGAUACAUGGAAAAAUAACCUGUAACAUUCAAAUUCUACAAAAUACAUUGUGUUCAUACAACCGGAA
rnacentral:lncRNA from 1 species